UACGAAGGGGGCGAGCGUUGUUCGGAAUUACUGGGCGUAAAGGGCGCGUAGGCGGCCGAUCAAGUCAGAUGUGAAAGUCCUGGGCUUAACCUGGGGACUGCAUUUGAUACUGAUUGGCUUGAAUGCAGGAGAGGAUAGCGGAAUUCCCAGUGUAGAGGUGAAAUUCGUAGAUAUUGGGAAGAACACCGGUGGCGAAGGUGGCUAUCUGGACUGUGAUUGACGCUGAGGCGCGAAAGCGUGGGGAGCAAACAGG
rnacentral:rRNA from 1 species